CAACGUUUGGUUGGUUUUGUCUAUCUGUCCUCAGUGCUGGUUUAUAAAACGGUGAUUUAUUGGCGAACUCAUCAAAGCCAAGGUUUGACGAGUUCAGAGCAACAGAAAUUUGCCAGAUAUAUAAUAUAUCUUCAACAAUGAAGUGGGGACGUGUUGUGCUGCAACUGCUGCUGAUUUCUGCAAUCCUGUCCAUAGUGACUGUAGCGGAGGAAUCCACAACAGAAGCAGCUGCUACUACUGCUGGUGGUGGUGAAGGUGGUGCUCAAGAGACAACGACUAAGUCCGGAUCAGCUAUGCUGUCGGCGGCAGUGACCAUGUCAAUAUUCGGAAGCGUAGUCGCCAUGCUUACGAAAUAGGAACAAGGAAAACACCUGUUAAACAGCUUACUGGAUCGACUGACUUUGUAGAUAUAAUCUGCUCGUUUUCCUCCUUUUAAAGUAUCUGCAUCGUUUUAUUAUGUUGGAGUGCAGGAUGUGUAGGUGAAAGCUUAUGCUAUGACUGCUGUUGUUGCAUAAUCGCGCAUUUAGCGAUACAAGUUAAAAUAAAUAUC